UACGAGUGGUCCAAGCGUUAUCCGGAAUUAUUGGGCGUAAAGGGUCUGUAGGUUGCUUGGUUAGUCUCCUGUUAAAUCUUUGAGCUUAACUCAAAGUCCGCGGGGGAAACGGCUGAGCUAGAAUAUGCGAGGGGUGUGCGGAACUCAUAGUGUAGGGGUGAAAUCCGUUGAUAUUAUGGGGAACACCAAAAGCGAAGGCAGCACACUGGCGCAUUAUUGACACUGAAAGACGAAAGCGUGGGUAGCGAAUGGG
rnacentral:rRNA from 1 species